ACACCCAAAAGGGAGGGAGACUAAAAAAAAAAAAGAGACACCAUCUUCUUCACAAAAUCGGAACACCAAAAACCUUCAAAUCAAGCGCCGUUUUUUUUAGACCUUGAGAUCCCCCCAGCAAACUUGGUCUUCUUCAUGAAGAAAUCAACAAGAGAACGGGCAACUGCUGCUGCUUCUUCAUGAAGUCAGCCGCACAUCACAAACGAGACACCCUAACACAAAGCUGACCUCCACUGUCCAGCCCCAAAACUUCAUUGAAAUUUGACUUUCUCCACCCCUGUUUCAACCCCAAAACUAUCCAAACUCUAGCCAAAAACGCAGAAAAUUCCAGCUCCAAAAUCGUUGCGCUGCUGCUUCUGAACAGCCACCAAACAGCCUCGAAAUAGCUUUAGAAACGCAACAAAACUUGCUACGAAACAGGCCCAGAAACGACCCUGAAGCAGUAGCUCAGAUCAGCCGAAUAAUCCUUGAAACACAAAAUUUCAGUCGAGUUCGAGGUUGCGGACGAGGUCGUAGUUUGUUAGCUCCGGUCUAGUUCACCUGAAGUUCGUGUUAUCGUGUAUAUUGGAAGAUUUGUGUUAAUCUGUAAAGGAUUGGGCUCGAAGGCUUGUGAUUUUGUUGUUGCAAAGAUUCGGAUUCACUAGAGAUAAUAUACAUGACAGGAUGGAGGGAACACCAUUCUCAACAGAAAGCAAAGAAGAGGGGGUCAGCCACAGUGUCAUUCCAGGAUCUCCAAAAGCAAUUUGGCAGUGGUGGUGGCUGCUGACGUCUCGCUACAUUCUUUCACGAUGCAUUUCUUACCUGUUUUCUGAUGCUUUCCAGCAGCUAGAAGAUGAGGGGAUGGAGAUACCCAUAAUUUAGACAUUCUCUUUCAAAACCUAAAAGUUUUAUAACCAGCUUUCUUUACUCAUGCAGGAGAAUCCUGUAAAAUAAUAGGUAAUAAUAAUAAACUUUUAGUUGAACCAUGGAGUACUUCAACUUUCUUGUCAUUGCAAAAAACACCGAUGUACAUCUGUAUCAAGACAUGAUGUUGUUCUAUAAACACUAGUAAGGUUGUAUUAGGACAAGUCUGUCUCCCUCUCCCCCCCCCCCCCCCAAUUGUUUGCCAUGGAGCACUUCAACUUUUUUGUCAUUGCAAAAAAAACACUGAUGUACGUCUGUAUCAAGACAUUAUGCUGUUCAAUAAACACUAGUAAGGCUGUAUUA